CAGAUGCUUUACACAGAGAAUAUAUUAAUCGCCUCCACGGAAUACAUAUCAAACAUUUUUACAAAGGUGGAGUCGAGGAAGAAAUAAAAUAGCAAAGAAAAAAAAGAGAUGGAAAAGGAGGGGUGUGUGGCAAGAGCGGGAGAUAGCUAGAUAGCCAAUCAGUGAGUAAAACUGAACCUUAGACCAUCGAUCACAAGGUCUUAACUUCUGUUUGGUUCACCACUUAACAGCAGUGCCAGAGCCUAAACUAUAAACAUGGAGAUAUUUGGAACUUUGGAACCUCUGAGAGUCUAAUGCAUCAGAACUAGCACAGAAGAGGAGUCUUAGAAACCGGAUUCUCAAUCUGAGCUUCAACCCUACCAGCUAGAGAUCCUGAAUUCCACAUAUGAGUGAGAUCAUGCAGUAUUUGUCUUUCUGUGUCUGGCUUGUGUGAUCUCUAUAUUCUCAUUUUGAGUUUGAGACUGUCCUUCAAACACAAAAGGAUAUAGAAACAUAGCCUCCUCCUCAUUUGGGAGAAUACCUUGGAGGCACAAAAAUUCAGCUUAUGCAAGAACAAUGAGAAUAAAAGAGCUAGCAGUAGAGUGAUCUUCCAGAAUUCAAGUAUGAAGACAGCAACAUUCAUCCCUAGCUAAAAGCAUCUGCUUCCACCCCCAGCUCGAUCUCAGGUCAUAGUCCUUUGGAAUUUCAUGGCCAGGACAAUAAUCAACUGGAGAGAAUGUUGCAUUUUGGAACCAGUGUGCCCAGAGUUAAAGAGAAAAAAUUUUAGGCCAGGCAUAGUGGCUCACACCUGUAAUCCCAGCACUUUGGGAG